UAAGACGUGGGAUAACUUCGGGAAACCGGAGCUAAUACCGGAUAAUAUUCGAACCGCAUGGUUCGAUAGUGAAAGAUGGUUUUGNCUAUCACUUAUAGAUGGACCCGCGCCGUAUUAGCUAGUUGGUAAGGUAACGGCUUACCAAGGCGACGAUACGUAGCCGACCUGAGAGGGUGAUCGGCCACACUGGAACUGAGACACGGUCCAGACUCCUACGGGAGGCAGCAGAU
rnacentral:rRNA from 1 species